GCCGGGUGUAGUGGUGCAUGCUUGUGAUCCGAGGAGCUCAGGAGGCUGAGACAGGAGGAUCGUGAGUUCAAAACCAGCCUUAACAAAAUCGAGUGCUAAGCAACUCAGUGAGACCCUGUCUCUA
rnacentral:sRNA from 1 species